CCUACGGGAGGCAGCAGUGAGGAAUAUUGGUCAAUGGACGAGAGUCUGAACCAGCCAAGUAGCGUGAAGGAUGACUGCCCUCUGGGUUGUAAACUUCUUUUAUAAAGGAAUAAAACGAGGCACGUGUGCCUUUUUGCAUGUACUUUAUGAAUAAGGAUCGGCUAACUCCGUGCCAGCCGCCGCGGUAUAACGGAGGAUCGGAGCGUUAUCCGGAUUUAUUGGGUUGAAAGGGAGCGUAGAUGGGUUGUUAAGUCAGUUGUGAAAGUUUGCGGCUCAACCGUAAAAUUGCAAUUGAUACUGGCAGUCUUGAGUACAGUUGAGGUAGGCGGAAUUCGUGGUGUAGCGGUGAAAUGCUUAGAUAUCACGAAGAACCCCGAUUGCGAAGGCAGCUUACUAAACUGUGACUGACAUUGAUGCUCGAAAGUGUGGGUAUCAAACAGGAUUAGAUACCCUGGUAGUC
rnacentral:rRNA from 1 species